GGGCUGGGCGCUGCCUUAACAUGCAAAGUCGACGGCAGCACGGAGCUUGCUCUGGUGGCGAGUGGCGAACGGGUGAGUAAUAUAUCGGAACGUACCCUGGAGUGGGGGAUAACGUAGCGAAAGUUACGCUAAUACCGCAUACGAUCUAAGGAUGAAAGUGGGGGAUUCGCAAGAACCUCAUGCUCGUGGAGCGGCCGAUAUCUGAUUAGCUAGUUGGUAGGGUAAAAGCCUACCAAGGCAUCGAUCAGUAGCUGGUCUGAGAGGACGACCAGCCACACUGGAACUGAGACACGGUCCAGACUCCUACGGGAGGCAGCAGUGGGGAAUUUUGGACAAUGGGCGCAAGCCUGAUCCAGCAAUGCCGCGUGAGUGAAGAAGGCCUUCGGGUUGUAAAGCUCUUUUGUCAGGGAAGAAACGGUGAGGGCUAAUAUCCUCUGCUAAUGACGGUACCUGAAGAAUAAGCACCGGCUAACUACGUGCCAGCAGCCGCGGUAAUACGUAGGGUGCAAGCGUUAAUCGGAAUUACUGGGCGUAAAGCGUGCGCAGGCGGUUUUGUAAGUCUGAUGUGAAAUCCCCGGGCUCAACCUGGGAAUUGCAUUGGAGACUGCAAGGCUAGAAUCUGGCAGAGGGGGGUAGAAUUCCACGUGUAGCAGUGAAAUGCGUAGAUAUGUGGAGGAACACCGAUGGCGAAGGCAGCCCCCUGGGUCAAGAUUGACGCUCAUGCACGAAAGCGUGGGGAGCAAACAGGAUUAGAUACCCUGGUAGUCCACGCCCUAAACGAUGUCUACUAGUUGUCGGGUCUUAAUUGACUUGGUAACGCAGCUAACGCGUGAAGUAGACCGCCUGGGGAGUACGGUCGCAAGAUUAAAACUCAAAGGAAUUGACGGGGACCCGCACAAGCGGUGGAUGAUGUGGAUUAAUUCGAUGCAACGCGAAAAACCUUACCUACCCUUGACAUGGCUGGAAUCCUUGAGAGAUUCGGGGAGUGCUCGAAAGAGAACCAGUACACAGGUGCUGCAUGG
rnacentral:rRNA from 1 species